UACGUAGGGUGCAAGCGUUGUCCGGAAUUAUUGGGCGUAAAGAGCUCGUAGGCGGUCUGUCGCGUCUGCUGUGAAAACUCAGGGCUUAACCCUGAGCUUGCAGUGGGUACGGGCAGACUGGAGUGCGGUAGGGGAGACUGGAAUUCCUGGUGUAGCGGUGGAAUGCGUAGAUAUCGAGAGGAACACCAGUGGCGAAGGCGAGUCUCUGGACGACACCUGACACUGAGGCACGAAAGCUAGGGGAGCAAACAGG
rnacentral:rRNA from 1 species